CAGAAUAAACAUCAUCACAAAAGGCAUGCCACUAGCUGAUUGAGGAAUCAUCUGGGCUCCAAGGAUCAGAGAUCUCCUGGACCAAGGAACUCAAGAAAGACAUCAUUUAAGAGCACAAUUUGGAAUUCUCGUAUCAGAAGAGGGAGAGCUACAUCCUCCUUUUAACCCACGCAUCGCCUUUGGACUACGCGUAGCAUCGCGCUUGGCCCCCAGAAGUCAUGUGAGCACACUGGGAAAGAAAUCAGGCAGCUAUCUGCAAGCCAAGAAGAGCACUCCCGCCAGAAUCCAUCCAUUCCGGUGCCUUGACCUUGGCAUCACAACUGGGAGAAGAACAUACAUGUGCGUGGCUUUAACUACCCAGCCUCUAGGAUUCUUUUACAGCAGCCCAAGCCAACUAAGACACUGACUCACAUAAGACACCUCAACAGAACUCCCAAAUCUGCAGUCACAUGGCUCCCCUUCCUUGUUGCACUGGUUUUCUUAGAACCAAAAUGUGAAGAUUUACAUUUAACACUAUUUACAUGUCGCAUUCUU